GUUCCUGUAGCUUACACUCAAAGCAUGGCACUGAAGAUGCCAAGACGGUAACUACAUAAUAUUCCCCAGGAACA
rnacentral:tRNA from 1 species